UACGAGAGGCCCAAACGUUAUUCGAAAUUACUGGGCGUAAAGCGUGCGCAGGCGGUUAUGUAAGACAGAUGUGAAAUGCCCGGGCUUAACCUGGGAACUGCAUUUGUGACUGCAUGGCUAGAGUUUGGCAGAGGGGGGUAGAAUUCCACGUGUAGCAGUGAAAUGCGUAGAUAUGUGGAGGAACACCGAUGGCGAAGGCAGCCCCCUGGGUCAAGACUGACGCUCAUGCACGAAAGCGUGGGGAGCAAACAGG
rnacentral:rRNA from 1 species